UACGAAGGGGGCUAGCGUUGCUCGGAAUCACUGGGCGUAAAGGGUGCGUAGGCGGGUCUUUAAGUCAGGGGUGAAAUCCUGGAGCUCAACUCCAGAACUGCCUUUGAUACUGAAGAUCUUGAGUUCGGGAGAGGUGAGUGGAACUGCGAGUGUAGAGGUGAAAUUCGUAGAUAUUCGCAAGAACACCAGUGGCGAAGGCGGCUCACGGGCCCGAUACUGACGCUGAGGCACGAAAGCGUGGGGAGCAAA
rnacentral:rRNA from 1 species